UACGAAGGGGGCUAGCGUUGCUCGGAAUCACUGGGCGUAAAGGGUGCGUAGGCGGGUCUUUUAAGUCAGGGGUGAAAUCCUGGAGCUCAACUCCAGAACUGCCUUUGAUACUGAGGAUCUUGAGUUCGGGAGAGGUGAGUGGAACUGCGAGUGUAGAGGUGAAAUUCGUAGAUAUUCGCAAGAACACCAGUGGCGAAGGCGGCUCACUGGCCCGAUACUGACGCUGAGGCACGAAAGCGUGGGG
rnacentral:rRNA from 1 species